rnacentral:rRNA from 1 species
AUCGAACGCUGGCGGCAGGCCUAAUACAUGCAAGUCGAGCGAGCGGCGGACGGGUGAGUAAUGUAUGGGGACCUGCCUGAUGGAGGGGGAUAACUACUGGAAACGGUAGCUACUACCGCAUACCAUCAGAUGAACCCAUAUGGGAUGAGCUUGUAGGUAAGGUAACGGCGUACCUAGGCGACGAUGCCUAGCUGGUCUGAGAGGAUGAUCGGCCACACUGGGACUGAGACACGGCCCAGACUCCUACGGGAGGCAGCAGUGGGGAAUAUUGGGCAAUGGGCGCAAGCCUGAUGGAGCAAUGCCGCGUGAAUGAAGAAGGCCUUCGGUUUGUAAAGUACUGUCAGUCGGGAGGCGUUACCUACAGAAAAAGCACCGGCUAACUCCGUGCCAGCAGCCGCGGUAAUAC